rnacentral:rRNA from 1 species
AUGGUAGAAUUCCAGGGGUAUCGGUGAAAUGCGUAGAGAUCUGGAGGAAUACCCAUGGCGAAGGCAGCCAUCUGGCCUAAUACUGACCCUGAGGUGCGAAAGCAUGGGGAGCAAACAGGAUUAGAUACCCUGGUAGUCCAUGCCGUAAACGAUGUCUACUAGCCGUUGGGGCCUUUGAGGCUUUAGUGGCGCAGCUAACGCGAUAAGUAGACCGCCUGGGGAGUACGGUCGCAAGACUAAAACUCAAAUGAAUUGACGGGGGCCCGCACAAGCGGUGGAGCAUGUGGUUUAAUUCGAUGCACCGCGAAGAACCUUACCUGGUCUUGACAUAGUAAGAACUUUCCAGAGAUGGAUUGGUGCCUUCGGGAACUUACAUACAGG